AGCAGCCGCGGUAAUUCCAGCUCCAAUAGCGUAUAUUAAAGUUGUCGCAGUUAAAAAGCUCGUAGUUGAACUUCGGGGUAUACCCAUUGGUCAGGCUUAAUUGUCUGCACUGGUGAGAUGGAUCUCUACCUUCUGAGGAACUUUCAUGCCAUUUAUUUGGUGUGGUUGGAAAUCAGGACUGUUACUUUGAAAAAUUAGAGUGUUUAAAGCAGACUAUCGUCUGAAUACAUUAGCAUGGAAUAAUGAAAUAGGACGGACUGAUUCUAUUCGUUGGUUCUAGGAUCACCGUAAUGGUUAAUAGGGAUAGUUGGGGGCAUUAGUAUUCAAUUGUCAGAGGUGAAAUUCUUGGAUUUAUUGAAGUACUAACUACUGCGAAAGCAUUUGCCAAGGAUGUUUUCAUUAAUCAAGAACGAAGUUAGGGGAUCGAAGACGAUCAGAUACCGUCGUAGUCUUAAACCNUAAACCUAUGCCGACUAGGGGAUCGGACGAAGUUAAUUUUAUAAUGACGCGUUCGGA
rnacentral:rRNA from 1 species